AUGCACGCUGGCGGCGUGCCUAAUCCAUGCAAGUCGAGCGAACAGACGAGGAGCUUGCUCCUUUGACGUUAGCGGCGGACGGGUGAGUAACACGUAGGUAACCUACCUAUAAGACUGGGAUAACUUCGGGAAACCGGAGCUAAUACCGGAUAAUAUUUCGAACCGCAUGGUUCGAUAGUGAAAGAUGGCUUUGCUAUCACUUAUAGAUGGACCUGCGCCGUAUUAGCUAGUUGGUAAGGUAACGGCUUACCAAGGCAACGAUACGUAGCCGACCUGAGAGGGUGAUCGGCCACACUGGAACUGAGACACGGUCCAGACUCCUACGGGAGGCAGCAGUAGGGAAUCUUCCGCAAUGGGCGAAAGCCUGACGGAGCAACGCCGCGUGAGUGAUGAAGGUCUUCGGAUCGUAAAACUCUGUUAUUAGGGAAGAACAAACGUGUAAGUAACUGUGCACGUCCUGACGGUACCUAAUCAGAAAGCCACGGCUAACUACGUG
rnacentral:rRNA from 1 species